rnacentral:SRP_RNA from 1 species
GCCAGGCAUGGUGGCAUGUGCCUGUAGUUCCAGCUACUUUGGAGGCUGAGGUGGGAGGAUCCCUUGAGUUCAGGAGUUCUGGGCUACAGUGUGUUAUGCUGAUCGGGUGUCCGCACUAAGUUCAGCAUCAAUAUAGUGACCUCCCGGGAGCGGGGGACCACCAGGUUGCCUAACGAGGGGUGAACCGGCCUAAGUCGGAAAUGGAGCAGGUCAAAAACUCCCGUGCUGAUCAUUCUAUGUAUUUGGUACAGAGUCUCAGUACGCAGCUCGGACCCAUAGUGAUCUUCCUAUUUU